UACGAAGGGAGCAAGCGUUAUUCGGAUUUACUGGGCGUAAAGGGCGCGUAGGCGGUAAACUAAGUCAGUUGUUAAAUUUCUCGGCUCAACCGGGAAUCAGCGAUUGAAACUGGUUUGCUAGAGUACAGGAGAGAGAAGUGGAAUUAUCGGAGUAGCGGUAAAAUGCGUAGAUCUCGAUAGGAACACCGAUGGCGAAGGCAGCUUCUUGGCCUGGUACUGACGCUGAGGCGCGAAAGCGUGGGGAGCAAAC
rnacentral:rRNA from 1 species